rnacentral:misc_RNA from 1 species
GAUGAAGAACGCAGCGAAAUGCGAUACGUAAUGUGAAUUGCUGAAUUCAGUGAAUCAUCGAGUCUUUGAACGCACAUUGCGCCCCCUGGUAUUCCGGGGGGCAUGCCUGUCCGAGCGUCAUUGCUGCCCUCAAGCACGGCUUGUGUGUUGGGCCUCCGUCCUCCUCCCGGGGGACGGGCCCGAAAGGCAGCGGCGGCACCGCGUCCGGUCCUCGAGCGUAUGGGGCUUCGUCACCCGCUCUUGUAGGCCCGGCCGGCGCUUGCCGACACAUCAAUCUUUUUUCCAGGUUGACCUCGGAUCAGGUAGGGAUACCCGCUGAACUUAAGCAUAUCAAUAAGCGGAGGA